rnacentral:rRNA from 1 species
GACGAGAAGCUUGCUUCUCUGAUGUUAGCGGCGGACGGGUGAGUAACACGUGGAUAACCUACCUAUAAGACUGGGAUAACUUCGGGAAACCGGAGCUAAUACCGGAUAAUAUUUUGAACCGCAUGGUUCAAAAGUAAAAGACGGUCUUGCUGUCACUUAUAGAUGGAUCCGCGCUGCAUUAGCUAGUUGGUAAGGUAACGGCUUACCAAGGCAACGAUGCAUAGCCGACCUGAGAGGGUGAUCGGCCACACUGGAACUGAGACACGGUCCAGACUCCUACGGGAGGCAGCAGUAGGGAAUCUUCCGCAAUGGGCGAAAGCCUGACGGAGCAACGCCGCGUGAGUGAUGAAGGUCUUCGGAUCGUAAAACUCUGUUAUUAGGGAAGAACAUAUGUGUAAGUAACUGUGCACAUCUUGACGGUACCUAAUCAGAAAGCCACGGCUAACUACGUGCCAGCAGCCGCGGUAAUACGUAGGUGGCAAGCGUUAUCCGGAAUUAUUGGGCGUAAAGCGCGCGUAGGCGGUUUUUUAAGUCUGAUGUGAAAGCCCACGGCUCAACCGUGGAGGGUCAUUGGAAACUGGAAAACUUGAGUGCAGAAGAGGAAAGUGGAAUUCCAUGUGUGGCGGUGAAAUGCGCAGAGAUAUGGAGGAACACCAGUGGCGAAGGCGACUUUCUGGUCUGUAACUGACGCUGAUGUGCGAAAGCGUGGGGAUCAAACAGGAUUAGAUACCCUGGUAGUCCACGCCGUAAACGAUGAGUGCUAAGUGUUAGGGGGUUUCCGCCCCUUAGUGCUGCAGCUACGCAUUAAGCACUCCGCCUGGGGAG